GAUAUGUCCUGGAAUGGUAUAUCCUCGAAAGAUCCGUCGCUUUAGGAUGGGACUGCGUCCGAUUAGGUUGUUGGCGGGGUAACGGCCCACCAAGCCUUUUAUCGGUACGGGUUGUGGGAGCAAGAUCCCGGAGAUGGAUUCUGAGACAUGAAUCCAGGCCCUACGGGGCGCAGCAGGCGCGCAAACUUUACAAUGCGAGCAAUCGUGAUAAGGAAACCCUGAGUGCCUGUCGAUGCAGGCUGUUCAUAUAUCUAAAUCAUAUGUGAAGAAAGGGCAGGGCAAGACCGGUGCCAGCCGCCGCGGUAAUACCGGCUGCUCGAGUGAUGGCCACUAUUACUGGGUUUAAAGCGUCCGUAGCUUGACUGUUAGGUCUCUUGGGAAAUCUUCGCGCUCAACGUGAAGGCGUCUAAGAGAUACCGGCAGUCUUGGAACUGGGAGAGGUAAACCGUACUUCGGGGGUAGGAGUGAAAUCUUGUAAUCCUCGAGGGACGACCUAUGGCGAAGGCAGUUUACCAGAACAGCUUCGACAGUGAGGGACGAAAGCUGGGGGAGCAAACGGGAUUAGAUACCCCGGUAGUCCCAGCCGUAAACAAUGUGCGUUAGGUGUGUCGGUAACCACGUGUUACUGAUGCGCCGAAGAGAAAUCGUGAAACGCACCACCUGGGAAGUACGGUCGCAAGGCUGAAACUUAAAGGAAUUGGCGGGGGAGCACCACAACAGGUGGAGCCUGCGGUUUAAUUGG
rnacentral:rRNA from 1 species